rnacentral:rRNA from 1 species
AUGAACGCUGGCGGCGUGCCUAAUACAUGCAAGUCGAGCGAACAGACGAGGAGCUUGCUCCUCUGACGUUAGCGGCGGACGGGUGAGUAACACGUGGAUAACCUACCUAUAAGACUGGGAUAACUUCGGGAAACCGGAGCUAAUACCGGAUAAUAUAUUGAACCGCAUGGUUCAAUAGUGAAAGACGGUUUUGCUGUCACUUAUAGAUGGAUCCGCGCCGCAUUAGCUAGUUGGUAAGGUAACGGCUUACCAAGGCAACGAUGCGUAGCCGACCUGAGAGGGUGAUCGGCCACACUGGAACUGAGACACGGUCCAGACUCCUACGGGAGGCAGCAGUAGGGAAUCUUCCGCAAUGGGCGAAAGCCUGACGGAGCAACGCCGCGUGAGUGAUGAAGGUCUUCGGAUCGUAAAACUCUGUUAUUAGAGAAGAACAAAUGUGUAAGUAACUAUGCACGUCUUGACGGUACCUAAUCAGAAAGCCACGGCUAACUACGUG